AUUGAACGCUGGCGGCAUGCUUUACACAUGCAAGUCGAACGGUAACAGGCCGCAAGGUGCUGACGAGUGGCGAACGGGUGAGUAAUGCAUCGGAACGUGCCCAGUCGUGGGGGAUAACGCAGCGAAAGCUGUGCUAAUACCGCAUACGAUCUAUGGAUGAAAGCGGGGGACCGUAAGGCCUCGCGCGAUUGGAGCGGCCGAUGUCAGAUUAGGAAGUUGGUGGGGUAAAGGCCUACCAAGCCGACGAUCUGUAGCUGGUCUGAGAGGACGACCAGCCACACUGGGACUGAGACACGGCCCAAACUCCUACGGGAGGCAGCAGUGGGGAAUUUUGGACAAUGGGCGCAAGCCUGAUCCAGCAAUGCCGCGUGCAGGAAGAAGGCCUUCGGGUUGUAAACUGCUUUUGUACGGAACGAAACGGUCUGGGUUAAUACCCUGGGCUAAUGACGGUACCGUAAGAAUAAGCACCGGCUAACUACGUGCCAGCCGCCGCCGUAACAC
rnacentral:rRNA from 1 species